UACGUAGGGGGCAAGCGUUAUCCGGAUUUACUGGGUGUAAAGGGAGCGUAGACGGCUUUGCAAGCCAGAUGUGAAAGCCCGGGGCUCAACCCCGGGACUGCAUUUGGAACUGUGUGGCUAGAGUGUCGGAGAGGCAGGCGGAAUUCCUAGUGUAGCGGUGAAAUGCGUAGAUAUUAGGAGGAACACCAGUGGCGAAGGCGGCCUGCUGGACGAUGACUGACGUUGAGACUCGAAAGCGUGGGGAGCAAACAGG
rnacentral:rRNA from 1 species